AAAUGCGAUAAGUAAUGUGAAUUGCAGAAUUCAGUGAAUCAUCGAAUCUUUGAACGCACCUUGCGCUCCUUGGUAUUCCUUGGAGCAUGCCUGUUUGAGUAUCAUGAAAUCUUCAAAGUAAAUCUUUUGUUAACUCAAUUGGUUUCUACUUUGGUAUUGGAGGUUUUUGCAGCUUCACACCUGCUCCUCUUUGUUCAUUAGCUGGAUCUCAGUGUUAUGCUUGGUUCCACUCGGCGUGAUAAGUUAUCUAUCGCUGAGGACACUGUAAAAGGUGGCCAAGGUAAAUGCAGAUGAACCGCUUCUAAUAGUCCAUUGACUUGGACAAUACUUUUAUGAUCUGAUCUCAAAUCAGGUAGGACUACCCGCUGAACUUAAGC
rnacentral:misc_RNA from 1 species